rnacentral:rRNA from 1 species
GCCAAAAACUAGCCUGCACAACACACCAUAAAUCACUUCACACAAACUAAACCAUUUACCAAAUCCAGUAUAUGAGAUAGAACUUUAAACACAGCGCAAUAGCCCAAAUCGUACCACAAGGGAACCAUGAAAGACUAAUUAAUAACCACAAGCACAGCACAGCAGGGCUAAAGCCCCGUACCUCCUGCAUCAUGGUUUAGCCAGCAGCUCGCCGACAAAGUGCCCUGUGUCCGCC